UUUGGCCCACUUAUAGGCAUCAGGCAUGACUUGGAUGACUUGGUUGACAGGGAUUACCGAACUGUCAAUGUCUGAGUGCUUUUCAAGAGAGGUGUCCAAAAAGGAGUGUGUGUGUGUGUUUGUGUGUGUCUGUGUGUGUGUGUAAUUCACAGGAUAUAUCAAUAGAGACGAAAGCAUUGAUGUCAAUGUGGUAUAAAGGGAAGCUACAUUGCAAGAAACAGCAAGAAACAUCAAGAGAGUUCACAAGAGCAUUUCCGAGGUUAAUUUCCCUCAGACAUGCGGUAAAACCUCACCAAGAAAGAAGUAACACAACCAAAACAAGGCCUAUCUCAAACCCACUGCAGGAGGGCAAAGGCAACAUGGAGAGAGGAGAGAAAAAAAGAGGAGAGGAAGGUUGUUUUGGGUCGACGAGUGCUUGAGCAUGUAGAGAGAGAGAGAGAUCUAAGGACACUGAUCUAAGGCCGGUGGUAGCUGGUCCACUCCAGAUGAAUGAGGUAC